AAAAAAAUAACUUCAUGCUGAGGUUGCUAAGAUCUAUGGUAAGAAGGAAUCUUCUAUCUGUGAAAUUGUGAAGAAGGAAAAAGAAAUUUGUGCUAGUUUUGCUGCUGCAAAAGUUACCGCCACAGUGCACGGAGAAUAUAAUCUCAUCAGCAGGAGAACAAGAACAGCAUACCUGUCUCUAUUGAUCACACUAACCAUCGAGUCACCAU
rnacentral:lncRNA from 1 species